rnacentral:tRNA from 1 species
UCCCUCAUAGCUCAGUUGGUAAAGAAUCUGCCUGCAAUGCAGGAGAUCCUGGUUCAAUCCUGGGUCAGGAAG